ACGGGAGGCAGCAGCUAAGAAUCUUCCGCAAUGGACGAAAGUCUGACGGAGCGACGCCGCGUGGAUGAUGAAGGCCGGAAGGUUGUAAAAUCCUUUUAUAACUGAGGAAUAAGUAUUAUCAGAGAAAGGUAGUAUGGUGACUGUAGGUUAUGAAUAAGCAACGGCUACUUACGUGCCAGCAGCCGCGGUAACCAGUACGUUGCGAGAGUUGUUCGGAAUUAUUGGGCGUAAAGGGCAUGUAGGCGGUUUUGCAAGCUUGGUGUGAAAUCCCGGGGCUCAACUCCGGAAUUUCGUUGAGAACUGCAGAACUAGAGUCACUGAGGGGCAAUCAGAAUUCCAGGUGUAGGGGUGAAAUCUGUAGACAUCUGGAAGAAUACCAAUGGCGAAGGCAGGUUACCAGCAGAUGACUGACGCUGAGGUGCGAAGGUGCGGGGAGCAAACAGGAUUAGAUACCCUGGUA
rnacentral:rRNA from 1 species